AUUGAACGCUGGCGGCAGGCUUAACACAUGCAAGUCGAGCGGGGUGAUGGUGCUUGCACUAUCACUUAGCGGCGGACGGGUGAGUAAUGCUUAGGAAUCUGCCUAUUAGUGGGGGACAACAUCUCGAAAGGGAUGCUAAUACCGCAUACGUCCUACGGGACAAAGCAGGGGAUCACUUGUGACCUUGCGCUAAGAGAUGAGCCUAAGUCGGAUUAGCUAGUUGGUGGGGUAAAGGCCUACCAAGGCGACGAUCUGUAGCGUGUCUGAGAGGAUGAUCCGCCACACUGGGACGGAGACACGGCCCAGACUCCUACGGGAGGCAGCAGUGGGGAAUAUUGGACAAUGGGGGGAACCCUGAUCCAGCCAUGCCGCGUGUGUGAAGAAGGCCUUAUGGUUGUAAGGCACUUUAAGCGAGGAGGAGGCUCUUUUGGUUAAUACCCAAGAUGAGUGGACGUUACUCGCAGAAUAAGCACCGGCUAACUCUGUGCCAGCCGCCGCGGUAA
rnacentral:rRNA from 1 species